UACGAAGGGGGCUAGCGUUGCUCGGAAUCACUGGGCGUAAAGCGCACGUAGGCGGCUUGUUAAGUCAGGGGUGAAAUCCUGGAGCUCAACUCCAGAACUGCCUUUGAUACUGGCGAGCUUGAGUUCGGGUGAGGUGAGUGGAACUGCGAGUGUAGAGGUGAAAUUCGUAGAUAUUCGCAAGAACACCAGUGGCGAAGGCGGCUCACUGGCCCGAUACUGACGCUGAGGUGCGAAAGCGUGGGGAGCAAACAGG
rnacentral:rRNA from 1 species